CGUGGAUCAGGCCACGUUAAAAAGCGGUUUAAGCCUGAUGCGUCUGGUCGCUUUCGAUCGGGGUCCGU
rnacentral:ribozyme from 1 species